UACGUAGGGGGCGAGCGUUGUCCGGAUUUACUGGGCGUAAAGAGCGCGCAGGCGGUCGUUCAAGUCGAGUGUGAAAGCCCCCGGCUCAACUGGGGAGGGUCACUCGAUACUGAUCGACUCGAAGGCAGAAGAGGGAAGCGGAAUUCCCGGUGUAGUGGUGAAAUGCGUAGAUAUCAGAAGGAACAUCAGGGGCGAAAGCGACUUCCUGGACCAGAACGGACGAUCAGGCACGAAAGCGUGGGGAGCAAACAG
rnacentral:rRNA from 1 species